UACGAAGGGGGCUAGCGUUGCUCGGAAUCACUGGGCGUAAAGGGUGCGUAGGCGGGUCUUUUAAGUCAGGGGUGAAAUCCCAGAGCUCAACUCUGGAACUGCCUUUGAUACUGUCGAUCUGGAGUAUGGAAGAGGUGAGUGGAAUUCCGAGUGUAGAGGUGAAAUUCGUAGAUAUUCGGAGGAACACCAGUGGCGAAGGCGGCUCACUGGUCCAUUACUGACGCUGAGGUGCGAAAGCGUGGGGAGCAAACAGG
rnacentral:rRNA from 1 species